CGCAGCUCUCUUUGCGAAGGAGUGGAUCAGCGUUCCUGCCAGCUGGAUUCCAGGCAGACAACCAUCUCUCGGAGAAAAGCACCGUUACACUGCUGGUCUGCUUCUGCAUGUGGGUACGGAUUGGUAUGUGGGAGAAAUCCCACUUGGAAGUGGUGCCUUUCUGGAACGGGUGCUUUUUUAGCAUAGGAAUUCUGCUUUGAGCCAGCUUCCUGUUGCUGCUGCCUUAUAUAGAAAUGUUU
rnacentral:lncRNA from 1 species